rnacentral:lncRNA from 1 species
UUGAUGGAGUCCAAGGCAUCUCCACAGUCUUCAGUUUUAGCCUUCUCUGACAGCAGGCAAGGGAGCUUCAGCACCUCUUAGAGAAGAAUAAGGAAACUGAGGUCCAGCAAGGAUUUACCCAAGAUGCCGCAGGCAAUAAUGUGAGAGACAUGAGAUUUGACUUCAAAAUCCACGGCUGCAAGGUCAGGUAUCUUUGCAUAAUAUGACAGCCACGCUCUAUGGGAAAUAAUAUAAUUAGCACUCAUAUAACACUCUAGAGGUAUAAAACAUUUAAAAAGUGUUUUACACAUGUUAUUCCAUUUUAUCAUCACACUAGCUCUGUAAGGUAAAUGAUAUUAUUUUUCCCAAG